GUCAUAUGCUUGUCUCAAAGAUUAAGCCAUGCAUGUCUCAGUACAAGCCAAAUUAAGGUGAAACCGCGAAAGGCUCAUUAAAUCAGUUAUGGUUCCUUAGAUCGUACCCACAAUUACUUGGAUAACUGUGGUAAUUCUAGAGCUAAUACAUGCAAACAGAGCUCCGACCGGAGACGGGAGGAGUGCUUUUAUUAGAUCAAAACCAAUCGGUGGCGGGUUCGCCCGUCAUCGUACAACUUGGCGACUCUGAAUAACUUUACGCUGAUCGCACGGUCAUCGCACCGGCGACGCAUCUUUCAAAUGUCUGCCUUAUCAACUGUCGAUGGUAGGUUCUGCGCCUACCAUGGUUGUAACGGGUAACGGGGAAUCAGGGUUCGAUUCCGGAGAGGGAGCCUGAGAAACGGCUACCACAUCCAAGGAAGGCAGCAGGCGCGCAAAUUACCCACUCCCGGCACGGGGAGGUAGUGACGAAAAAUAACGAUACGGGACUCAUCCGAGGCCCCGUAAUCGGAAUGAGUACACUCUAAACCCUUUAACGAGGAUCAAUUGGAGGGCAAGUCUGGUGCCAGCAGCCGCGGUAAUUCCAGCUCCAAUAGCGUAUAUUAAAGUUGUUGCGGUUAAAAAGCUCGUAGUCGAAUUUGUGUCUCGCGCCGCCGGUUCAUCGUCCGCGGUGUUAACUGGCGAGUCGCGAGACGUCCUGCCGGUGGGCUUAGCUCGCGAGGGCGGCCCAACUCAAUCCUGCCGCGGUGCUCUUCAUUGAGUGUCGAGGUGGGCCGGCACGUUUACUUUGAACAAAUUAGAGUGCUUAAAGCAGGCUAAAACUUCGCCUGAAUACUGUGUGCAUGGAAUAAUGGAAUAGGACCUCGGUUCUAUUUUGUUGGUUUUCGGAACCCCGAGGUAAUGAUUAAUAGGAACGGAUGGGGGCAUUCGUAUUGCGACGUUAGAGGUGAAAUUCUUGGAUCGUCGC
rnacentral:rRNA from 1 species